rnacentral:rRNA from 1 species
UACGUAGGGUGCGAGCGUUGUCCGGAAUUAUUGGGCGUAAAGGGCUCGUAGGCGGUGUGGCAAGUCGGGAGUGAAAUCUCUGGGCUUAACUCAGAGGCUGCUUCCGAAACUGCCGUGCUAGAGUGUGAGAGAGGCGAGUGGAAUUGCGGGUGUAGCGGUGAAAUGCGUAGAUAUCCGCAGGAACAUCCGAGGCGAAAGCGGCUCGCUGGAUCACAACUGACGCUGAGGGACGAAAGCUAGGGGAGCAAACAGG